rnacentral:rRNA from 1 species
GACGAACGCUGGCGGCGUGCCUAAUACAUGCAAGUCGAGCGGACCGACGGGAGCUUGCUCCCUUAGGUCAGCGGCGGACGGGUGAGUAACACGUGGGUAACCUGCCUGUAAGACUGGGAUAACUCCGGGAAACCGGGGCUAAUACCGGAUGCUUGAUUGAACCGCAUGGUUCCAAUCAUAAAAGGUGGCUUUCAGCUACCACUUACUGAUGGACCCGCGGCGCAUUAGCUAGUUGGUGAGGUAACGGCUCACCAAGGCGACGAUGCGUAGCCGACCUGAGAGGGUGAUCGGCCACACUGGGACUGAGACACGGCCCAGACUCCUACGGGAGGCAGCAGUAGGGAAUCUUCCGCAAUGGACGAAAGUCUGACGGAGCAACGCCGCGUGAGUGAUGAAGGUUUUCGGAUCGUAAAACUCUGUUGUUAGGGAAGAACAAGUACCGUUCGAAUAGGGCGGCACCUUGACGGUACCUAACCAGAAAGCCACGGCUAACUACGUGCCAGCAGCCGCGGUAAUACGUAGGUGGCAAGCGUUGUCCGGAAUUAUUGGGCGUAAAGCGCGCGCAGGCGGUUUCUUAAGUCUGAUGUGAAAGCCCCCGGCUCAACCGGGGAGGGUCAUUGGAAACUGGGGAACUUGAGUGCAGAAGAGGAGAGUGGAAUUCCACGUGUAGCGGUGAAAUGCGUAGAGAUGUGGAGGAACACCAGUGGCGAAGGCGACUCUCUGGUCUGUAACUGACGCUGAGGCGCGAAAGCGUGGGGAGCG